rnacentral:ncRNA from 1 species
AAGUAAGCUAGUAGAGAAUACGAAGGCGUAAAUGAGCUAACAAUCAUAAAGGAACUCGGCAAACUAACUACCGUAACUUCGGGACAAGGAGAGCUCAUUAGUCUUGAUUAAUAUCAGGUAAAAAGGAAGAAGCAUAAAAUAGUGUUGUACGACUGUUUAAUUAAAACACAGCACUUUGCAAAAAGAUGACAAAUCUAAGUAUUGAGUGUGAUGUCUGCCCGAUCCCGGCAGGUUAACAGAUAAAUUGAAUUUGUAAAAAUUUGGUUUAGACGGAACCCCCGGUUAAUGGCGGCCUUAACGUGAGGGUCCUAAGGUAGCGAAAUGCCUUGGCCGUUAAAUGCGGUCUUGCAUGAAUGAUGUAACGAUACAACAGCUGUCUCUAUGAUUGACUCAGUGAAAUUAUAAUAACUGUGCAGAUACAGUUUACCUCUAGUUAGACGAGAAGACCCUAUGCAGCUUUACUGUUACUAAUUAUAGGAUAUGAUAGAAAAAUUUGAGAUAUAAGGUACAUCGAUUAGAAAAAUAUGAAAAUCCUUUAUUUAUAUGUCAUAUUUCAGAGUAUAAUAAACCUAAUCUGGCUUAUAUAUUAAUUAUGUAAGCAAUAGCCUUGGUAAAGGAAUAUAUUAUUAGAAGACAGUUUAUGUGGGGCACAGGCCCCUUAAAGAGUAAAAGGGAGUGUCUAACUAUUAUUAGUUAUAUUUAUAUAACGUUGUUUGUGGUUUUAUGUAGUUCAAGUGCAAUUUGCACUUCCUAUGUUCAAUCCUCUAUAAUUAUUUGCAAUGUAAUUUAUAUCAUUGGUACAUUCAAAUAAAGAAAAGCAAUUUUAUUAAGGUACGUUUAUCCCCUAUAGUGAAGAUAGGUGUAGAAAAGAAAAUAUUAUGAAAUGUUCUAAUAUUUUUAUUAGUUAGCAAAGAAAACUUUGUUAAUUAUGUUUAAUACUUAAAGAGCUCAACGGCUAAAGCGUGCCUUACUGUUUGAUUAACAACAAAUCUUACAGUUGCGUAAGCAGGGCAUAGGAUCACAAGAUGCAAAAAGGAAAGAUCUUGGAUUAUUGGAAAAGCUACGCUAGGGAUGUUUGUCCUUCAAUAUUUUUUAAUUAUUGAUAAUAUAAUUGGGUUAAUUUC